UCGCUAUGGCGCCACCUGCUGGCAACAGGAAGUGACAUGUUUUACGCCGUAACAAACUACUCCUAGAUAUUUUAUGACAUUUUAUAAUUUUUUUUGGUCAGUCUAAUCUACAGGCCUUUGCGAUGUUAAAUUGUGAACAUCUUGAGGUUUCAUUAAAGGGUGUGGCCAUGGCGCCGUGACAAAGUUCGAUGUCUCGCCAUGGGAAUAGAAGUUGUUGUAACUCAGGCAUAAGAUGUCCGAUCUUCCCCAAACUUCACAUGUUCGAAAAGAGUCUUGGCCUGAACACAUCUGAAGGUCAAUAUUCCACUAUAAUCAUAGCGCCACCUGCUGGCAACAGGAAAUGGCUUGUUUUACACUAACUUAAACAUGCAAUGUCCAAUC
ensembl:lncRNA